AUGUGCGUUCCGAAGAAGAACAGUGGAAUGGAGUUUAGGGACCUUCACAACUUUAACAUUGCUAUGUUAGCAAAGCAGCAUUGGCGACUUCUCCAAAAUCCUAAAUUUUUAUGUGCGCGAGUUCUAAGAGCCAAGUAUUAUCUGGAGGGUGACAUACUUUCAGUAGGUCCAAAGAAAGGGUCCUCCUUUACUUGGCAAAGUAUUGUCGCUGGUAUUCAAACUUUCAAAAGUGGGUGUAUAUGGCGAGUUGGGUCAGGCUCACAAAUCAAAAUUUGGGAAGACCCUUGGAUUCCAUCUAGUGAAACAAGAAGAGUCAUUACCAACGGAGGAGUGACAAUGUUAUCCAAGGUGGAAGAGUUUAUUGACCCUCACACGGGAAAGUGAGAUGAUGAGCUUAUUCAUGAUGUGUUUUAUCCUAUUGAUGUGAACAAAAUUUUGCAAAUCCCGCUUCAUGUUGAGGCUGUAGAGGACUUCGUGGCUUGGCAUUUUACAUGUUUAGGUACCUUUUUAGUAAGGUCGGCUUAUCAUGUGGAGUUCAACCAUCAGUUUGGUCACCGCUUUGCUAGAGCUAACUGUCUUGGGAGAUCUCAGUUAGACCCGGUCUGGAAAGAACUAUGGCAUAUGCGCAUACCUGGAAAGAUUAAGCAUUUUGGAUGGAAGGUGCUCAAGGGCGCCCUACCAUGCCUAGGAGUCCUAGCGGACAGACACAUUCCCCUAAUGCCUCAAUGCCCACAUUGUAAGGUUGGACUGGAGGACAUACAACACUGUCUAUUUACCUGCUCACGUGCAGUUGAUGUUUGGACUGAAUUAAAACUGGCGGAAACCAUCAAGUCUGUAGUGGCUCAGGACCGGUCGGGCUCAAUAAAUCUAGAGUUUCUUCUCCAAGAUCGCUCCGUGGUCCAUGAACCACCAGCAGCCGAGUUGAUCAUUGUGGCCAUGUGGUAUAUUUGGUGGCAGAGAAAACAAGGCAUGAAAGGAGAGACUAUCCAGUCCCCGGAACGUACAACAAUGUCUAUCUGUGUUCUUGCUACUAACUUUACCCACAGUUGUACGCCGAACUAG
rnacentral:rRNA from 1 species